rnacentral:rRNA from 1 species
UACGUAGGGCGCGAGCGUUGUCCGGAAUUAUUGGGCGUAAAGAGCUCGUAGGUGGUUCGGUAAGUCGGGUGUUAAACCCCCAGGCUCAACCUGGGGACGCCACUCGAUACUGCUGUGACUAGAGUCCGGUAGGGGAGCGUGGAAUUCCUGGUGUAGCGGUGAAAUGCGCAGAUAUCAGGAGGAACACCAGCGGCGAAGGCGGCGCUCUGGGCCGGUACUGACACUGAGGAGCGAAAGCGUGGGUAGCAAACAGG